GCGAGUGAACCGGGAAAAGCUCAAAUUUGUAAUCUGGCUGUCUUCGAUAGUCCGAGUUGUAAUCUAUAGACGUGUUUUCCGUGCUGGACCGUAUCUAAGUCCCUUGGAACAGGGUAUCAAAGAGGGUGACAAUCCCGUGCUUGAUACGACCACCAGUGCUCUGUGAUACACGUUCUACGAGUCGAGUUGUUUGGGAAUGCAGCUCAAAAUGGGUGGUAAAUUCCAUCUAAAGCUAAAUAUUGGCGAGAGACCGAUAGCGAACAAGUACCGUGAGGGAAAGAUGAAAAGCACUUUGGAAAGAGAGUUAAACAGUACGUGAAAUUGUUGAAAGGGAAACGAUUGAAGUCAGUCGUGUUCUUUGGAUUCAGCUAGUUCUUCUAGUCUACUUCCAUUGAACGGGUCAACAUCAGUUUUGUCCGGUGGAUAAAGGUAUUAGGAAUGUAGCUCCCUCGGGAGUGUUAUAGACUAGUAUUGCAUACACUGGGUGAGACUGAGGACUGCAGCUCGCCUUUUGGCCGGCCUUCGGGUACGUUCGAGCUUAGGAUGUUGACAUAAUGGCUUUAAACGACCC
rnacentral:rRNA from 1 species